UACGUAGGGGGCUAGCGUUGUCCGGAUUUAUUGGGCGUAAAGAGCGUGUAGGCGGCCAGGUAGGUCUGCUGUGAAAACUCGAGGCUCAACCUCGAGACGUCGGCGGAAACCAUCUGGCUAGAGUCCGGAAGAGGAGAGUGGAAUUCCUGGUGUAGCGGUGAAAUGCGUUGAUAUCAGGAGGAACACCCAUGGCGAAGGCAGCAAACUGGUCAUCAACUGACGCUGAGGCGCGAAAGCGUGGGUAGCAAACAGG
rnacentral:rRNA from 1 species